AAUUCUAAUUCAUUUUAGGAUAACCCUUUGAACUUAAGCAUAUCAGUAAAAGGAGGAAAAGAAACUAACAAGGAUUUCUUUAGUAGUGGCGAAUGAACAAGAAAGAACUCAUUAUGUAAUCUAUAUUUAUUAUAGAGAUGUUAAAAGUUAUUGUUGUCAUUCAAAUCAUAGAUACAUUAAAUUGUAGUAAAUGAUGACGAUAAAUAAAUAAUGUAGAGUACGAUUGCUUGGUAGUGCAAUUGGAAUAUAGAUAGAAUAAAAUAUCUAAAGUUAAAUAUAAAUGACAUACCGAUAGAGAAUAAGUACUGCGAAGGAACUUGUGAAAAUGCUAGUAUUAGCUUAUAUAAUUAUAAGGCCCGUC
rnacentral:ncRNA from 1 species